rnacentral:lncRNA from 1 species
UCCAUGUCUCUUUAAGCAACUCACUUUCAGACACAAACACGUGAACUAACUUCCUUAUUCCACACCUUGCACAUUUCCUUUCACUUAAUCAUAACCUGCCAUCCCAGUCAUACUAUUCAAUUCAUUUUUCAUUAUUUUAUUCAAUUCAUUUUUCAUUAUUUUACCCAUUCUAUGUGUAUAAUUAUACCCUACAAUAAUAAUGUCAAAUUCCAACUCUGCAUUAUGACUUAGCAUAUGUCUAUAUGGUUUCAGAUUUUGCUAUGUGGUUUCAGCAGAUACAAUUAUGCAGCAUUGCAUACAAGCAGAUACACUUACAAGGUAUAUACAAUGCUUCAAAAGUGGAAUUUUCUACAUGUAACAUUUUUUAAAUAAAUAAAUAAAAACAUAAUAAAUGUAAUAGUGUGAACCUGAAUAUGGAUUUGGAAUUGAAAAUUAACCUCCCAACUUGCAUUUUCUUGUGUAGAAGUUGCACCUACAAAAAAAAUCAAGAGUUCAAAAAGGUUUCACAAAUUGAAAGAAGAAAGAUAGAGAGACCUUGGCUGUUGAGAAUAUGCCUAUUUCUCAUCUUGUUAAUGAAUUAUUUGAAUAGGCUGUUUCCACUGGUUUAAAACUGUGAAUUAAUAAAAACAUAUGCAUAUAAGUAGUAGUUAAAGACAAAAUUUAACUAAAAUACAAGUUGUAGUUGGACAGAUUGUAGCAAUUUAUUUGCUGAACUUUGUAUUUUCUUAAGUGUUCUUUUUUCUUUUUUAAUUGGAAAAAUAUCAAUGACUUUUUUUCCAGUUGUUUUCUGUACAUGCAGAACGUAGAUGAUGUGUUGGUUGGUGUAAUUUUCUUGGCAUUCAACUGUACAUGAAGGCAAAGAAUCACAAAUGAGGCACAGCAGAAAGUACACUGCUGAAUACUAGGAAAAUUAGAGCUUACAAAUCAGCUAAGGAGAUGCAAACUGAUUCUGAG